rnacentral:misc_RNA from 1 species
UCUAGUCUGUCACUACAAAAACAAUACGUCAAAGUUGUCAAAAAUAUUUUUAGAAAAAUAUUUGUUUAUCAACGUGAUUUAAGAUUUUGAAUUUGGUGUUUGGAGUGGUGUAUUUGUGAUAACCAGUGUAUUUUAUAUUUAACACGAAAGCAGAAGAAAUUCAGGUUCUGCAUGCGAUGAAAUGUAAAUUUUAUGGUUUCCUCAAUCUGGUAACAAAUGGUCUAUUUCAAACUAUGGAUAACAAUGCUUGCAACUGUGACGAUCAAGAUCCAGUAGAAGAGCCCACACCGAGCACAUCACAAGCUGCUGCCGCUGCUCCCAAGGAACCUAGCAAGAAGAGUAGACUUAAUUUUUUUAACAUUUGCCGUGACAGACCACUCCCGUUUACGAAACGCGAUAAAAAAUCUCCAUCUACGUCGAAAUCUUCUACAUUUGUGAAAAAAUCUCCGAAGUGGGGUAUCCGGUUUAACACGACGAAAAAAGAGUUCAAAGUUGCUUCUACUCAGGAUAAUCAAAAUUGUUGUCAGUGCACAUGCUACCAUCGCACGGGCUCUAAUGAAAACAAUUCGAUUGUUGGACAGAAUAUGGUAGGAGCUCAGGAAAAUGCUGAUGACAGGGAACGAGAAAAUGCACCUAGUCCAUCCGACUCUCCUGUCAACAUUUUCGAUGGUGGGGUUCCCAGAGAAGAAGAAGCAGCGAUGUGUGCUUCAAGGGUUACGGAGGUGAAUGGUGUAAGAGGGAUAUAUGGUACAGCUCCUGCCACAAGUUCAAUUCCCAAUAUAAUAAUUAGUGCGCCGUUUAUUGAUCAAUGGAUGAGAUCUCAACAUGAAGAUUGCGAAGAGGCAGCACGACUGCAAAGGGCCCGAGAAAUCGAGGAAGGUGUAAUAGCACCUGCAAAUUUCCGUUUAAUUCGAAGAGUCCAAUUAUUGUGUUCAGAUAAUGAAGAGUCUCAAGCACCCAGGAGGUUACAAUUAGUCUGUCCCCCUGAUCUCAGCGUUGAAUCACUCAGAGCAUUAUUCCAAAACCACGUUACUUUAAGAUCCGGUCCAAUAGAUACUAUCACAGGUUGUCACACACAAGUUGAUUUUAUACAUUGCUUAGUGCCCGAUUUGCUUAAAAUUACGAACUGUAGCUUUUAUUGGGGUAAAAUGGAUCGAUACGAAGCCGAACGGUUGUUGGAUGGAAAACCAGAAGGCACUUUCCUCCUACGAGAUUCCGCCCAAGAAGAAUUUUUAUUUAGCGUAUCUUUUAGAAGGUACGGUAGGUCCUUACAUGCCAGAAUCGAGCAGUGGAAUCACAAGUUCAGCUUCGAUUCACACGACCCGGGCGUAUAUACCUCCAAAACAGUGUAUGGCCUAAUCGAACACUACAAAGAUCCUACUAGUUGUAUGUUUUUCGAACCUCUAUUGACUUUUCCAUUACACAGGAAAUUCACCUUUUCUUUACAGCAUCUAGCACGGGCCGUUAUAGUAUCGUCGAAACUGACAUACGACGAUAUUAAUCACCUUCAACUGCCGAAGAGCCUUAAAACUUACCUAAAAGAGUAUCAUUACAGACAGAAGGUGAGAGUAGAAAGAUUCGAUGAUGAUAUGCAAUGGUUAGAUUUAAGAGAUGUGCCUUCUUGAUUUAAAUUAAGAAUGCAUAAGUUUCGGACAUUAUUGUCUGGAAGUUAUUACUGAACUACUUAAUUCAAUUCGUUAUAUCGUUUCGUCACACAGUGUGUAGUGAUAACAUAUUAUUUCGGCUACAUUUUAUAUAUUUCUAUCGAUAUUUUUGGCACAUAUUUAUAGACAAAUUGCAAGAAAAAUGCGAUUUAAGACAAUUGAGCCCGUCAGAAUCAAAACCUGCUAAAUUCUAAAUUUUUGGUUCUGCUAAAUCCAAACUAAAAGUACACAUUUCUGAAGAUGUAAGGGGCAUGCAGAAAAAUGACAAAUUACUGUCAUUUUAUGAUUUAUUGAUGCCCCCUUGAUUAAGAAAUGCCGGAUACGUUUUGGAAAAUUUACAUUUUUAACGUUUUUUUAGCCCCCUGACAAAAUUUUAAAGCAUAUAUCUAGCAAGUUUUGAUUCUAUAUCGCUUCUCAUUUGUUUCGGGCACUUGUCAUGUGUCACUUGAAUAUAUUAGACACAUGACAAGUGCCCGAAACAAAUGAGAAGCGAUGAAAAGCCCUAUUAGCAGUGAGUUAAAUAUUCCGUUGAACUUUUGAGUGAGUUCAAUAUUUAGUUAAAAAAAAAACAUACAGUGCUAUGGUCCCUAAGGUCCCGACCAAAAUUUUUCAUUGUUUUAAAAGAUAUACUUAACCUAAAAAAAUUAGGUUUAAAAAUCUUCCCGGAAUUUUUCAGAAUAAUUCCUUUUUUGAGAACGAUUUCGAAACGUCAGAAAAUAUGUUGAUUAAAACUGUAAUUUUUUGAGGGAUUUUUAAUUGAGCCCAAUAAUUGUGGCUCAAUCCCAUAUAAAGACCAUACUUCAAUUAGGCAUGCCACAAGAAAACAGUUUCAGAGAAACUUUAAAAAGGGUAAAUCCUGUAGUUGGCUGUAUACCUUCGAUAGAACAACGUGGAAUGAAGUAAACACUUCUGUUGUAUAUAGGUAUAUGAAUUUAUUAAAAUUUUUAAAAUUUAUCCACAAGGGAGUGGAAGUACAAAACGUUUUCGGUCAAACUGACCAUCAUCAGUGUAAACGUCCAGUGUACAAUAAUUGUAACUAGCCACUUCAAUAGGUGUAAAAACCUCUAAAUAACAUUAUUGCUACAUUACAUGCUAUAUAAUAGUCGACUUUAAGUCGAUGUCUUAAGAUUAUGAAUAUCACAUGUGGAUGUAUGUCAACCUUGCUCGGAAAUUGACCAACCCAAGAGUUCUGAUCACAACAACCUUGUGCAAUUUCCGAGCAAGGAUGACAUACAUCCACAUGUGAUAUUCAUAAUCUUAAGACAUCGACUUAAUGUCGACUAUUAUAUAGCAUAUAAUGUAGCAAUAAUGUUAUUUAGAGGUUUUUACACCUAUUGAAGUGGCUAGUUACAAUUACUUGUACACUGGACGUUUACACUGAUGAUGGUCAGUUUGACCGAAAACGUUUUGUACUUCCACUCCCUUGUGGAUAAAUUUUAAGAAUUUUAAUAAAUGCAUAUAGCUAUAUACAACAGAAGUAUUUACUUCAUUCCACGUUGUUAGUUUCAGAGACUUACCAAAUAUCUUGAUUCAACCGAUAUUGAUUCCUUAAUAAUGUCUUAUUAAGUUUCUGACAUAAUAUAUUUUUUAUUAUUUUGCAUUUUUUUGCUUUCCGAGUUAUUUUGAGCUGGUCUUUUCCUUGUUCUACCCCCAGCCAGCAGAUCACGUGCAUCAUUUUGUAAUAUUAAAAACUAUCAGGGACUAUCCUAGCUUUUUUGAAAUAUUAAUUUUUUUUUUGAAAAAUAUGAGUUGAAAGGGAAGAGUACCAUUCAACCAUUAUUUGAUAAUCAACAUUUUUCUUGCAAAAAUUUGUUAUAUAUUUGUAAAAUUUAUUGGCAUAAAUAUAUAAAGCAGUGUGAAUACAUAUCACGAGUUCUGUUUCGAUAAAGUCACCAUAUGUGUUGAAAAACAUGGCACAUAUCUGUAGGAAAUUUAUAAUUGGACUUAAAAACAGUUAAUAAAAUUAUACAUUUAACAUACAAAUGGAAAUAUUUGAUAAUCAGCCUAGGAUCAUCAAUCUAUGUUUUGUCGUAUGUUGCCGUUGAUUUAGAAUAUGUUUGUUACUGAUGAUAAUGACUUUUUUAAAAGCUAUUUACUUAAAAUGUGUAUUUAUUUAUUAAAAUAAACAUGAAAUGAAGUAAAUUAUACAGAAAGGACAAAAUAUCAUUUUUUAUUGAGUACAACUUAGAAAAAAAUCGGAGUAUGCAUUAAAUAGUAGAAACGAAUCAUUUCAAAUGGGAAAUAACCGCGAUUUCAGUUGAAAAUAUGUUUAUUUUGGCGUUUCGAUUUCCACUUUGGACGGAUUUUCGUCAAACGUCAAAAUAAAUGUAUUUUCAACUGACAUUGUGGUUCAUUCACAUUUAAGAUAGUAAAUAAACAUAGCAAUUCCACAAGAUAAUAGCUUCAGAAGCAUAGUAGUGAUAAAAAAUUGCAUUCCUCUUCCACCUCCCACGCAAGUGCUAUUUCGUCCUAUUUUCUUGCACAUAAUUUUCCUCAGUAAACAUUGAUGUGUCGUAUAUACCUGUUCCGAUGGUGGGUGUUAACGGAAUCAAUUAAAAAUAAGUGUAAACAACGAACAGUAAUAUUUAUUUUAUUUUUGGUUAAAAUGCGUGCUUAUUCAUCUCGUAAGAGGGUUGUUUAUUGUUGUGGGGCAGCGAGGGUGCGUCUGAAUUGCCUGCCUGCUGUGACGAUACUGCAGAGACCACAACACGAUCAUCAUGUUUGCGGUUUUACAAUAUGGUUUUAAGAAACGUCUUCGAAUGCAUUUCCAAAGUGCGUUGACAUAAGGUCUGAUAAGGUAAUUAAUUUAUGGGGAAUUCAGUUUGUUAAACUGAACACACCAAAAACAUAUGGUUAGGGAUACAUUUCGUUUCGUAAAACUUCUUAGCAUCUGGUUUGUAUAUUAAAUGUGAAUUUUAUAUGACCGUUUUGAGAAGUUAUUAAAAAAUAAAAUUAGCAAAAAUAGUCAUUAAAGCGUGUCGCCACAUACCUAAUUCAAGUCUGUCCAAUUUUAAGCUUGACCGAACUUUUAAGAGUGGGGCAUGUAUUGUCUUUUCCAAAAGCCUUUUUGCAAUCAAUAACAGUGAUAAUCAACUUUGUAUACAACAAAAUUUUCCUUGUUCGGUUGUUUGUUUCUGAAGUAAAUCUGAAUAAAACUGAACAAUUUUUAAGUAUAUCUGGUUUAAGUAGAAUACUUACCAAGCUUAAAGCUAUAUAUCUUAUUAAUAUUUAUGUAUUUUUAAUCGUAUAAACUAAGAAAUUUCUUCAUCCAUCUUUUAUAUUUAUCUUCAUUUUAUUUAUCUUCGUCUAUACAUCCUUCAGCUUCAUGCUUAUCAUCAUUAUUCAAUUAAAACAUUAGUAAUUAACCUUUCUGUAUAUUUUACUCUAUCAUCCAAUUAGGCCCUUCCGUAGAACUUUAUUUGUUCUUUAGUUGGGCCUUCCUGUAUAUGUUAUGUACAGCACCAAUUGUAAUUGUAUGUACCAUGUUUCUUGAUGUUAGUGUUCGCUAAAAUGAGGUGCUGGUCAUCUCGGAUACGUAACUAAAUGUAUACUCGACACCUAAAUAAAUUCUUUGAGUAGUCGUAAGGUAACUGGCCAGUUUCGCAGCAGGGUGAGAGGACAUUGUUUUAGAUGCCUUAUCAGCUAGAUAGCUGGAAAUACAGGGUGCGUUUCCCCAAUACGAAUAUGUGCUAAUAUUAUUUGUUGUAACAUUGUGUAGAGGUUAUUUUAUGAUUUUCUAUAAAAAAUUUGCAUGUUGUCAAUGAGGUUUGAUUAAAUUAUACAAUCAGGUGUUUACGAUAGGUAUACGGAACUCAAUGUAUUAGAGAAGGUAAAGAAUAAGUAAAAGUAUGUAAAAAUUGGGUGUAGGAGUGGGUACUUUGACGUUGCAUUAUUUUAGCUCUAAAAUCCAUACUUCUCAUAUUAUUAAAUUGUUACUUUUAAACCAUCAUUAAGGUGCGCUUACAUGGGCAACAAAAAUUGCUCAAUUAUGAGCAGUAAUGGUCGAUGGCGAUGUGACAAAAUAUCAAGCAUGUUAGGGCAGCAGCAACAAGUAUCGGUUCAGAAAAAGGUUUAGCAACAACAAUAUUGAGCGAUAAAGGGAAACUCAAAGAAACUAGACAAUACUUUCAUACAUGAAAGCAAUACUUAUAAGCAAUUCAGUUGAAAAACUGCACCCAUCAUGGACGACAUUCUUGCAGCGGCUGCUUGUAGUGCUUGAGUCAAAAGCAAAAAAGAAAGAAAGGAAAUAGGCGUAUAUGGGAGCGAAAGUUUUUAGCAAGACAAAAGCAAACUUCAUUGUAUUGUGAAUUAGGUGAUAUUUUAUUCAAAAACGUAACUAGAAUGUUCCGAAGUGAUUUUGAAUUUAUUUUGAAUAAAGCUAGCCCAUUAACUACGAAAAAAAACGACCAAUAUGAGAGAACCAAUUACUGCAUCAACAAAGCUGUAAUUUACCCUUCGAUUCAUCUUUUUUUUUUCAGAAGACGAUCUUAAAAAUGGGAACUUUGGUUCUCGCACAAACAAGGAUGCAAGUGAAUUACGUCAAUAAAGUGAACAAUCUUUUCAUUAUUCCACGAAAAAAACGACGCCGUUUUAAUUCAACCAGCAGCAGGUGCAGCUACAAUUCACAACAAAUUAAUAAAGACAGAUGACACACGCCUCGCCGCGGUAUUUCCGGUCGUCCUUUAUAGAAGAUAUAAACAAAUUGACUUGAAUUUCUAUACCCACUAGAUAUUCGGCAAUUCGUAUCAGCGACAUUAAGCAAUAUGGAAUAUAUGGAACAAUUGGAAGCAAUAUUGCCGAAACGAUUGCCGCAUUUUUUUUUUAAAUUGCUCCAUAUCUCUCCACUAAUUACUGCAGAUUGAUCCAUUCGUGUUAUCGAGCAAUUAUUGCUCAAAAAAAUUGCCCGUAUGAGCGUACCGUUAGUAAAGGCGGGUUGACAUUACUAGUGAAUAACGAACGUGGCUCACGCUUACGUAUUUUGCCUGUGCUAUUGUUAGAUAUUUUAUUAUCUAUUUUCAAACUUAAGCAGUAUAUUUGUAUCUAUGCAUUGCAUAAAUACAAAUGUACUGCUCGAGUUUAAAAAUAGAUAAUAAAGUAUCUAACAAUAGCACGGGCAAAAUAAGUACGCGUGAGCCACGUUCGUUAUUCACUAGAAUGUCAACCCGCCUUAAUUCAUGUUUGUGUUUUUAACGGUUCUUUUCUCUAUUUCUGAUAAAUUGACUUCUCUAUACCGAAGGCAAAAAACAGGUUUUAUAUCUCCAUAACAAAUUCCUUAUUAUAACUAUAUUUAACACAAAUCCCCAAAUGUGAUUGUUUUUUGUUUAUAGUUGGAAUUCGUUUGUGGAUAAUUUAUUAGUUGACCUUCGAGCGGGCGCGCCGUCGUAAAUUUUACGACAAAAAUGAUUGGACCACGCUCAUAUCACACGGUCUAGCGAGUCAAGUUUCUAGGUUUGUGAGAUUCUGUAUGUAUCCAAAACCAACAACGUAUCGGGUGUACGCACGCGUGUUUGAUAUUGACAAAAUUUGCAUCUCGAAAAAUUUUCGACACGUGCCGUUUCAUACAAGUAUAAAUAUGAAUUUUUUGCAUGUAGCUUUAUUUUCUCAUUUCUUAUAUUGUUUCUGUAGAACUAAAAGUACAUUAAAUGUACUCGGAGGUAAACUACACUAUGUCAUUUCGAGCAACUGUGUUUAGCGUAUGUUUGCAACAAAGUUUAGAACACUUGGGAUGUUAAUAAAAAUCUGAUAUAAAAUUGGUUGAAAGACAAUAUAACCAUAUUUUAAUGAUAAUAUAUAACUGAUUUGUAUAAUCCAACUAAUAAAAUAAGUGGAUUAAAGAAACUCGUUCAAAACAACACCAUGUCAACAUAGUGUAGUUAGCCUCCGAGGCCCAGAUUUUUGUUCCAAACUUAUCGUAUUAUGGCUCGUAGACCGCUUACGUAAAGUUAGAUCCUUUUAAAAUAUUGUUGUUUGUUUUUUUUUCUAAACAAAAAUUAAAAAAAAAGUUUAAAAUAUCGUAAAACAUAAAUUUUUAUAUCCUUUUUAACAAUUUCUCAACAUUUAUUAAAAAAAAACAGUAUUUACAAACUGUCGUAAAAUUUACGUCACGCGCCCGCCCAUGUUAUAUUACAGGGUGCGCUCGCUCGAAGGUUAAACCCAUGAAACAAACGCCAAACCUGCUGAACCUACAUAACACAAAUACACGUUCCACCCAUUUUCAAUGUGAAAGAUACCAAAAUGCACUUCCUAUGCUCAGCAGGUUGGGUCAUUGUUCUUCAUAACUAUUCUAUUGUGUUUUGCAAACACUAUCUGUUUAUAGUAUUAUAGCAAAUAUAAUAAAAUAUAUAAGAUCUAGAUUUUGUCGUCAAUAAAUCGGCAAAAUUUAAAAAUCGGAUUCAAAAUUCGGUCUGUUUACUUAUUGGUUUAUGUCGUAUUAUUUUUGUGAUUCAUGUUUUGAUGGUGUAUUAUUUUGUUCUAUAAAAUAGUAGGUACUUUUUACGACAACUGAAAAAUCAGAAUAUUUGUGUAAACAUCAUGUAAUUUUAUGUACCCUAAUCAUCUCUUUUGUAAUUUGCUUUACCAAAAUAUUUGAUCAAUUAUUCGCUUUUCAGGCUAUACGUCCAUAUUUUGUAUUUGAUAUAUUUACUAAUUUUAUUUAAGUUCAAAAGAAUAUACCGUCAAUUAUAAAAAGAAAAUAAAAGGAAUAUGAAGCGAACGUAUUUUCUUGAAAAUGAAGGAUUUACAAAGUUAUAUGUUUUUAGUUCGGUUUAAAAUAAAUCAAUUCAAUAUUUCACUGUACUUACUGAUUAUCGUAAAGCGAUCAAAAGGGUCAAGUGGACACACUUAUUGCGAAUACUAAAAGAAGUAGGCGUACCACAACACCUUAUUUUGCUUAUAACUGAACUAUACAAACACACUACUAAAUCAGUUAAAGUGCUUUACACACUUUCAAACGAAUCUCAUCCAGAACGAGGUGUCAGACAAUGAUAUAUAUGUGUCUCCACAAAUCAAUCGUUUGUUCUUAGCUAUCUUUAAAAUUAAUCUGACUUCUCUAUCUGCCUUUAAAAUCAGUCAUACGACCCUAGUUACUUUUAGAAGCAGAUUCAAGAUCGUCCAUUUGCUGGCAGAUAUUUUUAAAAUGAGCGCUAUGCACUUUUUAACACAAGUCAUUUGUUCUUUGAUGUCUUCAAAAUCAGCAAUUCUAACUUUAAAAUCAAUCUAUUUUUAAAAUCAGUCAUCUGUCGCUAUUUAUUAUCAGAGGACAUAUCUUUUAGUCAGCUUUAAGAUCAGUCAGUUAUUAUUAGAUACUUUCAAAAUCAGCCUGUGUUCUCAGUUAGCUUUAAAAACAGUAAUUCACAUCAUCAGGUCUUUUUCACGUCAGCAGGUCAUCAGUCAUCUUUAAAACCACUGUUUCUUAGUCGGUCAUACUUUUAAAAUCGGUCGUAUGUUCUCAGUUAAGUUUGAAAUCAUUUAUCUGUUCUUAGAUACUUUUAAGUCUGACAUCUCCAGCUAGUUUUGAAAUUAUGUCCAUAUCUAUUUUUAAUAUAUCUAGUCAAUAUAUCAUCUCGACCCAUUCGCUGUCUAUAGAAGAGGAUGGAACUCGGCUAGGAGCCAUUCUGUUGAACGGCAUCUGACUGAAGUAACCAUAUCACUCGCUGGAGCGUAAACGGCACCUGACUGAAGUAACCAAAUCACGCGCUGGUGCGUGAUCGGCAGCGAACGGGUUAAGAUAAUUUUAAAACCAGUGAGGUUAAAGGGUCAGCAUAUUCUACUUAAAACAUACCAGAAUUGCUUCGGAUUAACAUGAAACUAUCCGUCUUUGAUAAGAAUGGAUUUGAGACGGUUUAUUUUUAAUUUUAGCAUCUUCUAUUAAUUUUGUUUUUUAAAAAGUUUAUAUUUUUAUUUUAAAUAAUCCUGUAACGGUUUUGUAUGCGUAGCUUAUUUUUUUUAAACGUUUAUUCAGUAAUCUGUUAGUUAUAAAAAAAUUCUAACAAUAAGCGUCUUUGGGGUUUGAAGUAAAAAAAAUUGACUUUGGAGAGGUCAGUCCAAUGACUGGACCUCUAGUAUGGAACAAACAUGACAUUCCGAUAAUAUGCUACAUACAAACAUACAUUUCGCAUUUAUAAACAAUACAUAUAUAUCUAAAGUAUAAACACAAUUACGGUGAGUUAUAAAACUUAUUUACAGUGCUAGUCAAAAGUCCGUACCCCCCCUCAUAUCUUUUGAACGAUUAUACCUAUAAAAGUGAAAUUUGGAGGUAGGAAAUAAACGGACGUAAGCUUCUUAACUAGUCAUGACAGGUGACGUAAUAGUGACAGAUGACGUUACAGAGCCACUGUGACCGAUAAUUUUAAAUGGGACCUUAUGGCAAGUGACACCUCCUUUGAAUGGUAUUCAAAAUAUCUAUUCAGUCAUACUAAUUUUAUUUGAGUUUAAGCUAAUUUUGAUGAAUAAAUGAAAUAAAUAUAAAAUUGUAUUUUCGCAUUUAAUUAACAAAAAUUCAAAAUUCCGCAUAUAAUUACUUUUCAAAAAGCUUGACGUUAACGUAAAAACUACUAGAGAAUUGAAAAACAUCAACCUUUUUGACAAAAAAAACCAUAGGCAGACAUUUGAAUUUUUAUUAAUUAAAUGCGAAACUAAAAUAUUAUAUUCACUUAAUUUAUUCACCAAAAUCAAAAUCAACUAAAUCCCAAAAAAAUUAGUAUGACUGAAUAGGUAUUUUGAAUGCCUUUCAAACGAGGUAUCACUUGCCAUAAGGUCCCAUUUAAAAUUAUCGGUCACAGUGGCUCUGUAACGUCAUCUGUCACUAUUACGUCACCUGUCAUGACUAGUUAAGAAGCUCACGUCCGUUUAUUUCCUCCCUCCAAAUUUCCUUAUUAUAGGUAUAACCGUUCGAAAGAUACGAGGGGGGGUACGGACUUUUGACUAGCACUGUAUAAAUAAGGUCCAGUGGAUUUUUAAGCUUUAGUCUGUGAGUUUGUUGACUAUUAUCAAGCAAGUUUAUUGCCAGGGCAUUUGCAUGGCUUUCUAGGCAUUUUAUGUACCGAACACUGCACUAAACUAUCACUUCACUGAUCGUAGGUACUUCUAGGUCACCAUAAAUGUCUUUGUUUGACACGAACCAUGGGGCGUCUGUUAUAGAGCGUAACACUUUAGAUUGUAAUCUUUCCAUUAUGGAUAUGUUGGAUUUUGCUGCUGUACCCAUAGCUGGAUCCCAUAGGUCCAGACCGGUUUGAGUAUUGUAUACCAACAGUUUGUUACGUAUAGACAACUUCGAUGUUCUGCCCAGUAUCCAAUAAUGCUUACGAAAUUUUAAGUUUAACUGUUGGCGCUUUUUCCAUAAAUGGGUUCUCCAUUUCAAAGCUUUGUCCAGGUGCAUUCCAAGGUAUUUUACGCUUUCGGCUUGUGGAAUUGCUUUGUUAUUUAUUUCUAUAUUAGGCGAUAUUUUCCGACAUUUUGUAAAUAUGAUAUGUUGUGAUUUUGAUUCAUUGAUCUUUAUGCGCCAUUUCUUUGACCACUUUUCAAUGUCCCCAAUAUGCCUUUGAAGAGAUUCGGUAGCUGUUGCGGGAUUUUCAUCUGUGACUAACAUAGCUGUGUCGUCUGCAAAUGUUGUAGUCGUUACAUUUUCAUUUGUUGGUAUGUCGUGUGUAAAUAUCAAAUAUAAUAUAGGACCCAGAACACUACCUUGAGGGACUCCAGAUCGUAUGGGGUAGAUUUUUGAUGUAUCUGCUUCAUACUUGACACGGUAGUAUCUUUCUUCUAAAUAUGUUUUCAGUAUAGUAAAUAUUGACUCAGGAACGUUCAUUUUUAUUUUGAAGAGCAGCCCUUCAUGCCAGACUUUAUCAAAAGCCUGACUGACGUCUAGAAAAAGUGCAGAACAGUAUUUUUUUUUCUUCAAAAGUUUUAUUUACUAUAUCAACGACUCUAUGAACUUGUUCUAUUGUUGAAUGCUUCUCUCUGAAUCCAAACUGGUGAUCCGGAAAAAGAUUUAUUAUCAGUUAUUAUCUUCAUUAGCCUCGUCGCUAAUAGCUUCUCAAAUAGUUUAGCUAGUACCGGUAAGAGACUAAUAGAACGAUAGGAGGUAUUUUCGUGGGGUGGUUUACCAGGUUUAUGGAUCAUUAUUAUAUCAGCAAUUUUCCAUUGCGCUGGUACAAUUUUGAGCCUUAGUGCUGAGUUGAAAAGUUGUGUUAUCAUACCUACACCUUUAUCUGGUAACUCUUUUAAGAUAGUUCCUGUUAUAAGGUCGUAGCCUGGAGCUUUUUUGGUUUUUAAUCUAUAUUGAAUAGUAUUUUUUACCUCUCUUUUUGUUACUGGUUUAAUUUGCUCACUUGGCUGUUGGAUUGUUGCUAGACUUUCAUAGAUAGCUUCAUCUUCUUCAGCACUGACAGAGGGUAGAGGUUGAAAAACUUCUUCAAGAUAUUUUCCAAAUGCCUCUGCUUUUUCUUGACCCGUUCUCGACCAUGAGCCAUCUGGAUUUCUUAAUGCUGGUAUGUGUUUACUGGGUUGUUUUAAUUUCCUGGGUAGCUUAUACUACAUACUUCUGGAACGGUCCUAGGACAGUAUUAAAAACCCACGAGGAAAAUAAAUUCAUGUAGCUGCCUAAAUCUCAAAAAUACUAGAUCCUUUGUAAAAGGUAUAUUUAAAAGUCCCUAAAUAAGGGGUUACAUCACAUAACAGAACGUUUUCGGAUUAAAAAAUCCAUCAUCAGCGUUAAAAAACCAAUAGUGUGCAUGCCUGAACCACCAAAAUGUUUUGGGUAUAAACCCUUUAAAUGUUACAAAGUUUUAGAAUUUCUACAUAUUAUUGUUAAAAUUUUGUGAUGUUGCAAAUUGGUUAGUUGCCUUUCAACUCCAAUAUGUGAGGUUUCAUUCCUCUUACAUUGCAACCACGUGGAAAGAGUCCUGUGUUGCCCUGGGUAAUAUCCAGGAAUAGUGAUGUAAAAUUUCCGGAAAGAUUCAAACGCCGGAAACUUUCUGGGAAUAUUGGAAACUUAUCGAAAUAUUGUAUUUUUAUUUAAAUUAUGUAAUGUAAUCUUUAUUCAUUGUUGUAGUAUUCCGACUACAGAAAAAAUCUGUUAAAAAUUAAACGUCCAAACUUCCGUCCUUACUUAAAAUUUAAUUGACUUAAUUUAAAAAAUACUCUAAAUAUUUGUUAUUAGUCAUUAUAAUUAAAACUAAAAAAGUUAUUUUAUUUAAAAAUAUUUUAAAAUAAAAAAGAUAUUUUCUUUUUUCUAAUUUAGAUAAGCAUUGGUUUCCUCAGACUUACUGAUUGGAAGUAAUGGAAUAUUUUCGGUAAAAUAUUUUCUAUAUCCUUAAAUGUCUCGGCAACCUGGGAUAUUUUAAACAUAUUGCCUUCCAGUAGAGUAAUCCAUUUCACAAUUGGUGUUUUCACAACUGCUAUUUUUUGCAACAUUAUCCAAAAUAUUUCAUCCAGACAGUUUCGUUUAAUAUUCCGUGAACAUUUUCAAUUUUCCGUGACCAUAAGCAUUUGUAAAGCACUUUUAGACGCAAUAAGGCUAUUUAUACAGUUAAGGAUUGAACCCUACCUGGUUUUUACAGGAAGUUUUAAUGAUAUAACCUUAUUGUAGUUUUGAAGGUGGAUUUUAUUAAAUCGGGCAAGAGAUAUUUGGGAACUAGUUACAUUUUUAUUAUACAAAUAAUGAAGCUAAUAUUUCAAUUUUCAAUUAAAUUUAAAUUAAAAUCAACAAAUCAUUCAAUCACGAAAAGAAACUAAAAACAAUUGGCAGUGGUGUAGGUUAGCCGGUCGUGUGAAUUAAAUAGCACUAGUUCCACGUAAAUUCACGGCACGUCAUGUCACUGACUCUUAUGUCCAAAAGUUCUCUGAAAUAUUAUGGAAAGUUCUCGGAAAUAUUAUGGAGAGUUCUCGGAAAUAUUCUCAAGAAUUUUCCAUUGAAAGUUUCCGGGAACCUUCGCAGUCAGGAGAAUAUUUCCAUUUUUUAUAGGCGAAUAUUCUCGGAAAUUUUCCGAUGUUGGCGAAUAUUCGCUUGGAAAUAUUCUCGACUCACAUCACUAUCCAGGAAUAUUUGCAACAUCACAAAAUUUUAACAAUAUGUAUUAAAUUCUUUUUAACCUUUUCUCUUUAACUUCAUUUUUAAACUUUAACAUUUAAAGCGUUUAUACCCAAAACAUUUUGGUGGCUCAGGCAUGAACAUUCUUGGUUUUUUAACACUGAUGAUGGAUUUUUUAAUCAGAAAACGUUCUGUUGUGAUCUAACAUAUACCUUUUACAGACGAUUUAGUUUUUUUUUUAUUUUUUUUAUUAAAAACGGAAAUUGAAACAACUAUACAAUAUGUUGAUACAACUAUAUCAUUCUGAUUCAUGUAGUGCAGUUUGAUAUGAAUAAUUUUCUUUGACUGUGUUUAUAAACAUUUUCAUGUUUUGGAUUUGGGUUCUUAUGACUUUCAAAACCCAUAUUUCCAAUCUGUUUUGUCCAUUGUUAACUUUCUUAUUUGAUCUUCUGCUUUUCAUCUCUUUUUCUCUAAUUUUUUAACUUAUUUCUGGGGUUUCAUGAAUAUUUUUUCAUUUAGUUCCUCUCUUUUCCACAUUAUACUAUUUUCUACAUUGUGAGAAGGAAUCCCGGAAUUGACAUUCCAGGAAUGUCAUAAAUAGAAUGUAGUAGAUUGAUCCUACAUAGAAAAAGUCCCUUGACGUGAAAGAAAAAGUAGUCACGUACGAGAAUGUUCUAGAUGUCAUGGAAUAGCCCAGAAAUGUCUGGUAACGUCUAGAACGUCAGAAAAUCUAUAUAAACAUGUGUGAAGAAUGAAAGUGGUAGUAAUAUCAACUAAUCACGAAAACCGUACAAUGUACGGCCUUGUCGUUUAAGUGCAACGCCCUUCGGUAGGGAUCUAUGGAGGAGUAUCACCAAGUCGCAAGCCCUUAUCCCUUGCCGUACCGCUCCUCCAUAGGCCUAUCAGACACCAGUUUAUUCCAGACCAAGUCCUAGAUUCUAUCUUCUUCUUCCUUUGGCAUCAUAACCCUGGAUGGGUCUUUGCCUGGCUGGCUAUUCAGAUCUUUCUUAGACCCUUCUUCUCCAUUGUCUUAUAUUCAUGGUUUUCAGGUCGUCUUCCACGUCAUCCAACCAUCUCGUCCUGGGCCUUCCUUUUUUUUCCCAUCUCGUCCUGGACCUUCCUUUUUUUCCGCCUUCCUACCGGCUUCCACUGUAACAUCUUCUUUGUCGUUUUCGUGUCGCUGAACAUGUCCCAGCCAUGACAGUCUUUGACUUUUCACAAAUCUUGCAAUGUCAUACCCUUCAUUCAGUUCAUUACUUCGUCGUUUCUCCUGAUUCUCCAUGUGCCGUCUUCCUCUUGCACCGGGCCAUAUACUUUUCUCAGUAUCUUUCUCUCGAAUGUCCUGAGUUAGGCUUGCAUCUUUUUUCGUCAUUACCCAGGUUUCACAACCAUAGGUUACUACGGGUCUAAUCAAAGUUCUGUAGAUAGCCAUUUUGGUUCUCUUGUCUAAUAAUUUCGAUGUCAUCAAUCUUUUAUUAGCAUAAAGUCGUAGAUUCUAUAGAAUUUUAUACUACGACGUUGGCCUUUUUAUUUUUCAAUGACCGGGCCGGGGAUCGAACCCCGAUCGUAAAUCCGCUAGGUUUGUCGAUCAAACGCCUCAGCCCAUUGAGCCAUCUGACCGAUAGUCAGUCUUUCUAUAUCUUUCUAUUAAUUUUAUCUUAUGUCUUUUUUGACUUCUUUUGUCCGAAAGGUCUUGUUGAUGUUUCAACUUUUACUACCAUGUUUUAUAAAUUUUUAUAUUUUUUAUUAGUACAUAUAUAUAUUCUACGGCUAACCAAUGAGAGGCUUACAAUGAGUACGCUAAAAACCACCAAAAUAACGCAAAAGAUGGAAAACAUAAUACGUUGUGCAAUAAAAAGAGAUCAAACUUGUAGAGGUGGAAAAUUGUCGUUAGACACCUAUACAUUUACAUUACAUAGUAGUUUCUCACAUUUAGACGUUAUCUUAAGUGCUUGUUGACUUCAGUCAUAAUUAGGUAUAAAUAUGUAUGACGUUUAGUAUGACCAACGGUAUGACGUUUAGUAAAAUAUUUUAGUUGGGAUAUUUUUAUUAUUAGUUUGAUUUAUAAUUAAGAUGACUACUAAUUAAUGUUUUUUUACUAAUUUACUCAAUCAUUUGUUCUCUCUCCAACCAUUUUUAAUUGAAGGCGACUCAUCUACAAAUUGAACUGAGAACAGCAACAAUGUUAAAUUUUAAAACUAAAUUUAUACCGGGGUCAUUUUUAUUGGGUAUGCCUUGCCAAUGUGCAUAAGGGAAAAAGGAAGAUGAUUUCAUAAAAUUUGCCUCGGUAACAAUAUACCUCCGGUCUAUGGGUCAUAUUUACGGGCGGCUAAGUUGAACAAAUUCCUUGAACACUGUGAAUCAUUGGUAACCUUAUCAAUACUUCGCUGGUCUAUAUAUUUACGUCCAAGGCAGGGUGAGAAUCCAAGAAAUAUUUUACUCGUUAACAGGUGUCCUUAUCUGCAUAGACGUAGACGUGGUGUGUUUUUUUUUUCUUGUGACAGGGGAUCAAGCCACAAUUUAAGUUUUAAAUUAAAUUUAUUUGACGUUUCAAUUUCCAACUUGGAAAUCAUUAUCAAAAUACAAAACUUUAAUAAUUUAAUCAAAUUUUGUUUUUGAUGCUUGGUAAAAAAUUUUUCUCUAAUAAUUUAAUUUUAUCUCACUCAUUCAUAUUGACAAUUCAGAUAUAAUAUAUUAUAUGUACAUUUUAAAGUAGAUUUAUUUAUUAAAUCUUAAUCUUCGAUUCAUUGUCUUCACUCUUGUUCGUAUUCUCGCUGUCUUUUCCUUCGUUUACUUGAUUUAAAAAAACUCCACCAUGUUUUUAUUUUUAAUAGGCGUGUAAAUUGGAAAUAUUUUCUGAUCUUUUUAAAACUUUGGAGCAAAAAUUGCAGCGAGUUUGUUCUUAGUUCAUUAAAAUGAAACCAAACAUUGCUUUUUGGUGGUGCCAUUUGCCAUUAUUCUUUCACGUUUUAAUAUCUGCAAAAUAAUAUUCAUGCGGUUCCCAAAGAUCAAGGAUAAUAAAUGAAACUCAAUACUUAUUAUAAACACACAUCAUAAUGACAAUUUGAAGUGAAAACUGACCUUGAAAUACUGUAUAGGUACUCUCUAUUAAUAAAAUUUUACUUUAUUUACUAUUUUACUUCUAAAAUAAGCCACACUUUAAGUUGAAAAUUCAAUUUAUUUAAAGUUUUGACUUCUACUUCGGAAGUCGUUAUCAAAAUACAAAAUAUUAAUAAGUACCUAUCACUUUCAGAAGUGGAAGUCGAAACGUCAAAUGAAUUGUUUUUCCAACUUAAAUUGUGGCUUAUUUUCCAAGGAAAAUAGUGUAUAAUCAUUAAUAUAACUAAUAUUGGAUACAGUAUGGUGCAAAUGUUUGGAAUAAAUUCGUUCUUUAGUAAACCAGCGACAUUCAGAAUAAAUUCUGAGACAGGCCGAUUUUUAUUUUUGAAUUAUGAUUUUUCGUCAUAUAUAUCAUACUAGUGACGUCAUCCAUUUGAGCGUGAUGACGUAAUCGGUGAAUUUUUUAAAUGAGAGUGGGAGUCGUGUACUAGCUCAUUUGAAGGGUUAUUCAAUUAUCUAUUCAGUAAUAUAAACAUUGAUAUAAUUACUCAUACAGUGUGUCUAAGAAAAAUUAUUUUUAAUAAAUUAAUCGACGCAAAAAGAAGAAUGUGUAUAAUUUAUUUAAUUCAAAAAACAUUCUAAUGCUCUCAGAAAAUAGAAAAAAUGUUUAUUUCACAAAUAAACAUUGUUUUUCGCUUAAUUUAAAUCAUGUUUAAACUGUCAAGGGGCAAAUGGGUGGCAGCUCGAACAUUAAAAUUAAGCGAAAAGCAAUGUUUAUUUAUCAAAAACCAUUUUUUUCUGUCUUCUGACAGCAAUAGAAUGUAUUUUAAAUUAAAUAAAUUUCAUGCAUUCUUCUUUUUUGAGUCAAUUUAAUUAAAAAAAAAUUUUCUUGAACACCCUGUAUAAAUAAUUAUGUUAAUGUUUAUAUUGCUGAAUAGAGAAUUGAAUAACCUUUAAAGUAACUAUCACACGACCCCUAUUGUCAUUUAAAAAAAAUGAUCGAUCAUGUCAUCACGCCCAAAUGGAUGACGUCACUAGUACGAUAUAUGUCUCAAAAAUCAUAAUUUAAAAGUAAAAAUCGACCUGUUUUAGGACUUUUUCUUAAAGUCGGUGGCUUACGAAAUAACGAAUUUAUGUAUUCCAAACAUGCAUCAUACUGUACGUAAUUGCAUAAGAUGCCACAAAGAAAUAAAUUCAGAAGAAUAUUUACUUUAUUUUGUUAGAAAAUUUGAAAAUAUCUGUCAAAACACACAUGAUAAUUUAAUAAUUACAUAGAUCUUAGAUUUAACUUUUACGUAAUUACUUACCUGUUUAUAUAAAUAAUAAGUAAUUAAAAUAUUAUUUUGGUACGCCACUGCAAAGUUGACAAGAGAACUAUUGGUGACUCGUUUUAAGUGCGAUGUUGCCAAUGAAACACCUUCAAUUAAAAAUAGUUGAACUUUUUUUAUAACAUGGGAAAUUAAAGAAUGUCUUUCGACGCUAUACGAUUUGUCUCGUACUAUCUCACAACUGAAUAUGUUUUCCAUCUUUUGCGUUAUUUUGCUGGUUUUUAGCGCACUCAUCACUGUAUAAUAUUCCUUUUAUUUUCUGCUAUACUGCUAUACACUAUCUUCUGACACAAACAAACUUUGUUUUGCUAAAAGUUCUGAAAAUAUUCUUUAAUUUUUGUUUUAUAAAUUUCGUGCCAAAAAGGAAUUAUAUUCGAGUAAAGAAUUAGUUGUUGCUAUUUCGUCUCAAAAUCUUUCGUUAUUUAGGAAAAUCGUGUAUAUAGAUGUAAAUAUUACUAAUUAUAACUGAAGCUUUAAGUAUUAUUAUCUAGAUUGUUAUAAUCAUAUUAGUGGUUUAUUUGUUUUACUUACUAUAAUUUGAUAUUUAAUGAAAUAUGUUUUUAAUUUCAUUUGUGUACGAUAUAAAAAUAAAAAGAUUUUGUUGUAAA